UACUUAGCGGCGGACGGGUGAGUAACGCGUGGGUAACCUGCCUUACACUGGGGGAUAACAGUUAGAAAUGACUGCUAAUACCGCAUAAGCGCACAGGGCCGCAUGGUCUGGUGUGAAAAACUCCGGUGGUGUAAGAUGGACCCGCGUCUGAUUAGGUAGUUGGUGGGGUAACGGCCCACCAAGCCGACGAUCAGUAGCCGACCUGAGAGGGUGACCGGCCACAUUGGGACUGAGACACGGCCCAA
rnacentral:rRNA from 1 species